AGUGUCCCCACCUGCCCUUUCCCACACACCUUGCAGGCAAGCUGUGGUGCCAUGAGACUGCCUGGUGAUGGACAGACCAGCACAGGAGACGCGUCACUGCAAGAGCCCCCCUCAUACCCUCCCGUUCAGGUCAUCCGGGCCCGAGUGUCUUCCAGCAGCUCCUCUGAGGUGUCCUCCAUCAACUCAGACCUGGAGGUACAGGGUCUGCCUGCGGGCGGGUGCAGGGGUGUGUCGCUCACCCACACUCACCCUGCCUCCUCGGGCUUGCUGUGCUCUUCUCUGAUCUUGCCAGUGAACCUCACCCUGCUGUUAAAGAAUGCGCCUCUGCACAGCUGCCAGUCUGCCUGCUGCCAGUCUGCCUGAGGAGCUUCCCAAACCAGCUCGGGACUAAGAAGAAGGCCCCAUGGUCAAUCUGGUCAGGGGAACACUGGGUUUUGGAGUCUAGUCAUCAGGGAUCGCUUGCACAUUUGAGUCUACAGAAGCAAAUGCACAAAUAAUAAACUAGUUUUUAAAGUCUCAAAAAAAUCUUAAAAGCUAGGGGUGUGGCUUGGUGGUAGCGCACUUGUCUAGCGUACACCAGAUGCACCAGGCCCUGUUCCAGCCAUUGCAAAAAAAAAGAAGAAAGCCUUUGUGCUUCCCCAGCCCAUUUGACCAUGGAAGCUUUUCUUUGUCCCAGGGAAUGUCAGCUCCUCCUGCCGUGCCAGCACACAGGUUGCACACUUUAUUUAGUACCUUUGCUUCAUUUUGUAUCUGUGAGCAAAACUCAUGUCCCAUCUUGGAUGCACAAGUCUCAUGUCUGAGUUGUCCCAUAACUAUGGUUUCUGGCCCCAUUCAACGAGGAAGUUUCCAUUUGUCUGAGGAAAAAAAGAGAAUGAGGACGAUGUGGUGGUAAUGGGCAUGUUGGCAGAAGGGGGCCAGCUGUCUCUUUUUGGUGAGGGAAGGACUGUCUUUCUUUCUGAUUUUGUGUUCUUCCAUCUUUUUUGGUGUUAAGUGCCCUUUUUGAAAUGAUGGUAAUAAUAGGUGGUAGUUAGGGUUGAGUUUUUGGUUCGGGUUUGGUUCCUACCCUACCUCACCCCACCCCCAGUACUGGGGACCAAACCCAGGGGUGCUCUGCCACUGAGUUGCAUCCCCAGCCCUUUCUAUUUUGGGACAGGGUCUUCCUAAAUUGCUGAAAAUGGCAUUGAACUUGCUUUCCUCCUGCCUCCAGAGUUCUGGAGAUUACAGAUGAGUGGUGCUACACCUAUUUGGUUUGGUUUUUAAUGGCCUCAUUUGGCAAAACAAUCAUUAUCUAUUCUAAGUUCUCAGAUUUAUCAAACUUAUACUGGACCCUGACAUCCAAAACUCAGAGCCACUGAUUUGGGAUGAAGUCCAGUUCCUUGGUGUGAUGUUCUAGCCCUUCUCCAUUUGCCCAGCCUCCUGUUCUUCCCUGCCCUCACCCAGCUCUCUGACCUGACCGUGGACUCUUCUUUGUCCCCAGGCCUUUGGGCCUCAUCUUUCUAGCCCCAUUUCCACGGUUCAUAAUCCUAUCCAGAUGCCACCUCCUGGGAGAAACCACCCCAUCUGUGGCCUCUUCCACUGAGUGCCCAGAACACACAGUCCCUUACACACCUGUACUUUGGAGUGUGCGUGGUCUGGUGAGCUGUGGAGUGACUGUCAUCUUUCUCUAUUCCUCAAUUCUGGAACACAGUGGGCAUGAAGAACUGGGUUGGUGUUAGGACUUCUGUACCCUUUGGGUCAUAUUUCUGUGUCAGUUCAUGUCAUAUAUUUCUUUUUUUUUUGUUUUUUAUUCUAAUUUGUUAUAUAUGACAGUAGGAUGCAUUACAAUUCAUAUUACACAUAUAGAGCACAAUUUUUCAUGUCUCUGGUUGUACACAAAGUAGAAUCACACCAUUCAUGUCUUCAUACAUGUACUUAGGGUAACAAUGUCCUUCUCAUUCCACAGUCUUUCCUACCCCCUCCCUUCCCCUCCCUCCCCUUGCCCUAUCUAAAGUUUUCCUUCCAGGUCCCCCCCCCCAUCCUCAUUAUGGAUCAGCAUCCUCAUAUCAGAGAAAACAUUCAGCAUUUGGCUUUUGGGGAUUGGCUUGCUUCACUUAGCAUAAUAUUCUCCAACUCCAUCCAUUUACCUGCAAAUGCCAUGAUUUUAUUCUCUUUUCAUGCUGAGUAAUGUUCCAUUGUGUAUAUAUACCGCAGUUUCUUUAUACAUUCAUCUACUGAAGGCAUCUAAGUUGGUUCCACAGUUUAGCUGUUGUGAAUUGUGCUGCUAUAAACAUUGAUGUAGCUGUGUCCCUGUAGAUGCUGUUUUUAAGUCCUUUGGGUAUAAACCAAGGAGUGGGAUACCUGGGUCCAAUGGUGGUUCCAUUUGAAGUUUUCCAAGGAAUCUCCAUACUGCUCUCCCUAUUGGUUGCACCCAUUUGCAGUCCUUCUCCCCCACAUCCUCUCCAACACUUAUUGUUGUUUGUCUUCAUAAUAGCUGCCAUUCUGACUGGAGUAGUUUUGAUUUGCAUUUCUCUAAUUGCUAGAGAUGUUGAACAUUUUUUCAUAUAUUUGUUGAUUGAUUGUAUAUCAUCUUUUCAGAAGUGUCUGUUCAGGUCCUCGGCCCAUUUAUUGAUUGGGUUAUUUGUUUUUCUGGUGUUAAGAUUUUUGAGUUCUUUAUAUAUCCUAGAGAUUAGUGCUCUAUCUGAUGUGUAUGUGGUAAGAACUUGUUCCCAAUUAGUAGGCUCUAUAUUCACCUCACUGACUGUUUCUUUUGCUGAGAAGCUUUUUAGUUUGCAUCCAUCCUAUUUGUUGAUUCCUGAUUUUAUUUCUUGUGCUAGAGGAGUCUUGUUAAGGAAGUCAGAGCCUAAUCUGACAUGAUGAGGAUUUGGGCCUACUUUUUCUUCUAUUAGGCACAGGGUUUCUGGUUUAAAUUUUAAGUCCCUGAUCCACUUUGAGUCCAUGUCAUGUAUUUCUUGGAUCCAGUCUCAGAACACGUGGGACACCCAGGGUCCACAGCGGUGUCUGCCAAGGCCUAAGGCUAAGGGAGAAGGAAUAAUCUGGACACUGAAUUCAUUAAGGAGAAGGGACAGGAAGGCUGCUGAGGGCAGGCUCGGGGGAGAGGCGGGCAGCAUUCGCUCUGUGGAAACAAGCGUGUCUUGCUGCCCACCCUCGGCUGAGGCGAGAACUGAAUAGGGAAACUGAAAAUUCCGACAUCUGUCCUUGUGGCUGGUUUGGCCAUUUCUCUGUUUUGCAGUCCUUGUUGUUUUACUCUAUUUUCUCUCCAUUUUUAUAAAUCUGUUGUUUAAAAUAUGUCAGUUCCUAGGAUACAGGGUCACACUCUUAAAUUAAGCAAGUGGAAAUGAUGCUUUUGUCCAUGGUAAAAGGAACAGUCAGAAGCCCAGUCCCCCCGGCCUCUCCCCUGCAGUCUUUCUGCUUCACACCCUAAAACAUAAAUACACUGUAGACAGGCCACCAGGGUCCUUCCUAUAAAGAGAUAACCUCACCUUAACCACACACACACUAGCGGAUCAAAUGGAAUUGUGACGCUCCCAGUAUUGAUUGUUUAGUGUGCGAGCAGGAGGCUGUGGAGCUUUCUUCGGGUGUGUGAUCCAUCAGGGCUUCUGUUUUUAAAGUAACACCGCUCACCUGUUCAGGAGGCUGAGGCGAGAGGGUCGCCUGAGCUCUUCAGUUUGAGCCUGAGCAACCGAGUGAGACCCUGUCUCUAAAUAAAGAAAUAAACGUAAUACAUGUUUUUGGUAUAAAAUUUGGAAAACAAAAAAAAGUAAAGAAGAAAAUUAAGCCCACUCAACCAAUGUGGGACUGGGCAUGAUGGAUAUGCCACCUGGGUUUUGGAAGUAGUAUUUUUGGAGAUCCUGGUUGGCUUGUGGAGAGGAGGGGCUCAGCAGAUGGUUAACAAGUCCCCCUCAGCUGGCCAUCUGCUGGCUCAUUCAGCAGAUGUGUUCUGAAGGCCCAAAUUGAAAGGGAGAAUACCUGAGGACACAUAGGCCCCAGCCUGCCCAGCCUGCUUGGUAAAUUGGCCACAAUCUGAUCCUCUGCCUCACGCACACUCCUUUUAGGAGUGUGACAAGAUGAAACUGUAGAAAUCAAUGUCAGGGCUUAGGUAUUACUUCUGUGGUUUGUGACUUCUCUUGCAGAAUUCACGUAUUUCAUGGUGUUGGACUCAGGUAACCUAGGGCAUCUCUCCCCACUCUUGCCUACCCAUGCCUCUGCCCUCUGCCCUGGACUCCACUGAGGUUGGCUUCCGUGGUCUGCCUCUUACUGACCUCCUGGGUUUCUCCUUGACCCUUUGGGUUGACAAGUGAAUGCUUCCCGACUCCCACUGUCCAGGCCCAGGGGCCUGGGAGCUAUUCUGGACUCAGAGGUGAUGUGUCCAUCCCCUAAGGUCCUUGAUCAUCUCAUAACUGACCUCUGAGGCCAGGUUUUGAUGUCAUGUUCUCGGCCGUGUGCCCCCUAUCCUGAGCACCACAUCCUGCGGUGCGCAGGGGGAGUGGGGGACAGGCGGGUCUCAGCAGCACAGCGUCUCCACACACUCAGUUCACAAAGCGUCUCCAAAUCCAUUCGCAAGGAAGUAAGGUGCUUGCCAAAGUGCUGGGCACGGGGUGGUACAGUGAAGACUCACCAGGACUUUGUAUAAGCAGCCCUGAAGCAGGAGACUAGGAGUAGAGGAGUUUAAUUAGCCACACGAAAAUGAGGAGAAUAAGGAAAGAAAGGAGAAGAGAAGGCAGAUCUGGGGUUUGAACCCAGUGUCAUCCACUCUGAAACUUCCCACGUUGCCCACUGCACUCCAGUGCCUUGAAGGGACUAGUACCCAGGGGGCUUUGCAGGCCAUGUCUGUUAUCCAUUAUUCCCAUUGAAUGUCCUAAGUAACAGAGGGUAAAACAUUGGGAUUUACAAAUAAAUCCAGGGAGGAAUGAGACAGGACCAUGGAGGGACAGCUUGGAUUGUUUUUGUCUUUCUUCAAAGAUCCCACGGGCUGGAUCGACCAGGGUACCAGAUGAAUGGUUUAAGAGCCCCAGUGAGACCAACAGCCAUGUAGAGAGGCCAUUUGCUUGGGCCCUGUAGUUUCCAGAUACCUUCCAGGAGGUGCACCCUCCGCAGACCGUAGAUCCACUCACUCAACCAUCACCCACCCGUCCAGCACAAGGGCCGCCUCGGUCCUGGCAUAGCUGUCCAAAGGGUGCACUGAACAGCUGCUGACAAAGGGUCAUUGUAACCCCAGUGGUCAGGAGUUCAAAGCCAGCCUCAAUAAAAGCAAGGCACUGAGUGACUCAGUGAAAACCUGUCUCUAAAUAAAAUACCAAAUAGGGCAGGAGAUGUGGCUCAGUGGGUGAGUGCCCCUCAGUUCAAUCCCUGGUACCCCCCGCCAAAAAAAGAAAGGGUCACUGAGCUCAUGGAGUCCGAGUCCACAAGUGGGAGGUCAAAGAAAAUAGUAGCAGGGCUUACAGGAGUGGCCUGUCACUUUCCAGGAAGCCAUCUGAGUGCAGGGCCGACCUUCCCCAGCACCGGAACUGCUAAAGAUGUGUGUGUUGUGUCCCCCUGUGCUGACCUAAAGCACGGUGAGGGUGUGAGUGUAGAGACUUGGGAAACUGCAGAGGACCCAGCACUGCUGCUCCUGUGGUGUGGCUUUCGAUGGCUUCUUAUUCUUUUCUUCUGUCUUUUAGACUGUGGGAUUCUAGAACACACAGAGUCCAGCCUUGUGACCAAAGAGUGUUUAUGGCAGUGAAUUAAUCUGUUCCUUCUGGGUUCCCAGCAAUGGCACAGGCCUUCUGUAAGCUGUGUAGGAAUUCUGUAAGGAGCUGUUUCUGUCACUGGCACAAAGUGUGCACAGCAAAGAUGUCCAGGACAGGAGCUUCUGCAGCCAUGUGUGUGUGUGUGUGUGUGUGUGUGCACAAGGGUGCACAUCGAAUGCAUGCAGCAUUGUGUGUGUGUGGCAUGAGAACAGGGCUGAACGCCAGACUGCUGUGUCGGAAGAGGGUCAAGUGUCCUCACUAAUUCUGUGCCUCAGGCUCUUGGUAACCAAGACUGCUUAUUCUGUCUCCAAACCACAUUCAGAACCAGCUGACCAGGACAGAUUCCCUUGGACAUGUGCCAUUCUUAAAGCCAAAUCAUUCUUUUAGGAGAAAAAGACAGAGAAAUGACUAUGAAAGUGCUAAGUUUAAGCCGAGAGUGGCGGCACACAGGUGUGAUCUGAUUCAGGAGGCUGACGGGAAGAUCCCAAGUUCGAGGCCAGCUUCAGCAACUUAGCAAGACUCUGUCUCAAAAUAAAAAACAAAAAGAACUGGGGGUGUAGCUCAGUGGUAGAGUACCCCUGGGUUCAAUCCCCAGUACCAGGGCAGGUUGCCAAUUUUAGAAGAAAAUUUAUGUAAGCAUGAAGAAGGAAAUUAGAACAUGCCAAGAGGCAGCAAAGGUCAGGAAUCAAGUUAAAGAUGUGGCUUCUGCCCUCCACAGGUCUUUUUCCUUCUUGGGGAGGUGAGGGCACCUGCCCUCAGAACCAGCACAACAUAGUCCAUCCUGAAACGUGUGGGGCAGCCGGUUCCCCUUGGGUGGGGAAAAGACUUCACUUGCCCCAAGGGGAACCUGGGCUGUGUAAGGGAAAGAACAGUGGCCCAGGAGUGGGGUGCAUGCAGGGGCUUGUCUGGGGCUUGGGCCUGCACAGGACUUCUCAAGUUGUAGUUUCUCCCUCUGUAAAUGGGAAUCAUGAGACCCGGCUCCCAUAUGACAGAGGGACUGGAUGGGUCCAAUGGGAGUGCUGCCAGCUCUUUGCAAGAUUACCAAGGCACCACACUUGUUGCCAUGGAAAAUGCAGAAGGCGGAGGGUCUGAGCUCAGAUACUGGCUCUGGCCUGUAUGGCUGAAGAACUGGGCACCACCCAUUCAUUUUUCAUAACCUGGUCUGGAAUGGAGAUGAUGAGCCCCAGAGGGUAAAGGAGGCUUGGCCAAAGUCAGAUGUGAAGGAGCUUUGAAAUGCAACAGAGCGCUGUCCACCCAGAGGCCAUGGUGAAACUCCAGCUUUGGACUGGGCCAUCUUCAGGGCCCACCUCGCAACAGAACCCUAAGUGGAAGGUGUAUUUUGGAAGAGGCAGGCAGAGGGUGAUUAUGUGGGUCAGUUCUUGGACAGGCUUCUCUCAGGAAAACAAAUGGGCAACUCAAAAGCAUACUCUGCCAGUGUCCUUGCUAACCUGGUUGCUGAGUCUGCUUAGCUCCACUCAGAACCCUCCCCGCCUCUGUGGUCUCUAGAGUAUUUCCAAUUCCACUGACCUGGUAGGCCUUUCCUUCCAACCCUGGGGUAUUUCCAAGGACGCUGUGUCCUCUCAAUAAAGGAGGUCUGUCCACAGGGGUCAGAACUUCACUGUCACUGAUCCUGCUCAGGAAAGACCUGUGCAGACCUGAAUGGAGAGGGAUUUGCAUGGUCAAACCAACCAGCCAUGGGAUCAUGUUUUGCCCUUGCACAGAGCACUUCAGGGCCUCUGGAACAUUUCCCUUCUUACAUCCCAGUUCUUUCCCUCUACAACAUCCCAGGAAGGAAGAGUGAGCAAGAAAUAGAGCAGGUAGGGAGGAGGAGAUACAGCCCGUUGGGGGGGGGGGGUGAAGCCCUGGGUGAUGCAGAGUACGUCCAUGGUGUUGGCUAAUUAGACAAUAUUUAUAAUUGGGUUUUAUAUAUUUAAUAAUUUGUGUUUAUGUAUAUUGUAUAAUUUGUAUAUAUUUAAUAAUUUGGGUUGUAUAUAUAUAUUUUUUUAAUUUCUUUUAGUGGUUGAUGAACCUUUGUCUUAUUCGUUUAUUUAUAUACAUGGCUGAGCAUCGAACCCAGUGCCUCACACAUGUGAGACAAGUGCUCUACCACUGAGCCCCAGCCCCAGCGCUGUAUAUUUAUAUAUACUUUAAAAGUAGGACUGGCGUGUAGUUCAGUGGCAGAACACUCACCCCGUUGGUCAUGGCCCUGAGUUCAACCUCCAGCCCACCCCCCAAUAUAAAUAAAUAAAUAAUAAAAAUAGAGAGAUGUGGUUUUUUUUUUUUUUCUGUAAUGUUUUAAAGGGACUUGGUCAAAAGGCAGUUGGUUUAAUGGAAUCUGGGAGAGCUGAAGCUGGUGUGUAGUUGGCCAUGAAAACAUUAUGACCUCUGCCAAGUCUAGCACCAUCUCCCCUCCCAGCCUUGGGGAAGGUCAUUUCUCCGCAGAUGCAGGAGGAAGGAGCUGGACAGAUGGUCUCUGAGGAUCCACCAGCUUGAAUUUAAGACAGUGACUCUUAUUUCCUCAGUGACUUAGCCACACCUCCUAUUCCUCAGGAAUGAAAGAAAUGUUGCCACACGCUGUAUAGACCAGAGCUGCAGGGUGCUGCUCCCACAAGCAUGGGAAAGUGAGCUUGUAGAGAUGAAGUGAAUUGCCCUGGGUGCUGGCCCAUGCCUGGAAUCCUAGUGGCUCAGGAGGCUGAGGCAGGAAGAUCACAAGUUCAAAGCCAGCCUCAGCAACUUAGCAAGGCCCUUAGCAACUUAGAAAGACCCUGUUUUUAAAUAAAAUAUUUUAAAAGCUUAGCUGGGGAUGUGGCUCCAUGAUUAAGUUCCCCUGGGUUCAAUCUCCAGAACACACACAAAAAGAACGAAGUGAAUUGAAAUGCCACAUGCUGUGGCUCACAGAGACGAUGGUCCUGGACACAAGUUAAGAAUAUGUGGAGCCAGCUGGAGCAGUCCCAGCUACUCUGGAGGCAGGAAGACAACUUAAAGCCCAGAAGCUGGAGGCCAUCCUGGGCAACAAAGCAAGGACCCAGCUCAGGAAAAAAGGAGAGAGAGAGAGAGAGAGAGAGAGAGAGAGAGAGAGAGAGAGAGAGAGAGAGAAUGUGGAAAUGCUUGUUAUAUAUAGUGGGAGAAAAACUAUGUGAAUAAUUUAAUUAUAUUUCAUUAGAAAUAUAUAUUAUUAUAUAUGUUUCAGAGGUCUGUUUAGUAACAGUUCAUAGAAGUGCUGUUUUAGGGAUAGAAUUAUGGAACUUGUGUUUUUUGAAAAUUUAUCUAUGAUAAACACAUUUUUGCUUUUUUUUUUUUUUGGUUCUGGGAGUGAACUUGAGAUGUGGCGGAGGGAGCACUGAACCGCUGAAUAACAUCCCCAGCCUUUUUAGUUUUUAUUUUGAGAUGUGGCCUUGCAGAGUUACUGAGGCUGGCCUCAAACUUGUGAUCCUCUUGCCCCAAUCUUCCAAGUAGCAGGGAUUACAGGAGCACAUCACUGUGCCUGGCUUACAUUUUGUUAUUCAAGCAUGUAAAAGACUAUAAAAUGUUAUUUAUACAGUUUUGGGGAGAUGAAGAGACCUCACUUAAAAAGACUUGGGGUAACUGUCCCUUCAGAUAUUAUCAUAAUUCAUUUGAAACAGUUUAACAUAAAAAAAAAAAAAAAAAAAAAUCCUGACUACUAUCUCCACUAGAGGGCACUCUUCUCCAAUUGCUGGGGGUUUAUUUAUUUAUUUAUUUUUAGGUGUGAAUGGACACAAUACCUUCAUUUUGUUUGGUUUGGUUCCUUUUUUUUAAUGUGGUGCUGAGGAUCAAACCCAGUGCCUCACAUGCAAGGCAAGUGCUCUACCACUGAGUUACAACCCCAGCCCCGAUGAUGGAGAUUUUUAAAGGCAGUUCUAAAGUUUUACUUCAAUCCACUUGGGGAACUCAAAACCUAUUUAUGUUUGCUUUCUUAUUUGUUUGGCUUUAAAUAAACUUUUUAUUUUGGAAUAAUUUUAGGUGUACAGAAAAGUUUCAAAAAUUAGUACAGAAUUCCUUUAUGCCCUUUGCCCAAUUUCCCUAAUAUUCGCUUACAUAACCUUCCUACAUUUAUCAAAAUUAAGAAAUUAGCGCUGGUACAUUACUUUUAACUAAACCACAGGUUUUGUUUGGAUUUCACCAGUUUUUCCACUAAUGUUCUUUUUUCUAUUCUAGGCUACAAUCCAGGACACCAUAUUGUAUUUAGUAAUUUUUUUAAAUAAACAAAUAUACACUAACUGUAAUAAUCAUAAAUUACCAUUUACAUUUUGCAUGAAUACCUGUAUUUUCCCAGAAAGGUGAAGGUUAGUAUUUUUAUUUAAUUUCUCUUAUUAGCCACCAGGUGCAGUGGUGCACACCUGUGAUCUCCACAACUCAGAAGGAUGAGGAGGCUAGCCUCAGCAACUUAGUGAGACCCUCACUAAUGUAAUAAGACUCUGUCUCAAAAUUAAAAAAUAAAAAAGACUGGGGAUGUAGUUCAGUGGUAAAGCACCCCUGAGUUCAACCCCCAGUGGAUAAAUAAAUCAUUUCUCUAUUUCCAUGACCUUUGUAAGUUAUUGAACUUUUUCAACCCCUACUUUACAUCAUCCGCAUUUCUGUUUUUUUGUGGUGCUGUGGAAACACCAUUUAUGUUCAGUUUAUGUUCCUGCAGCAGAUGUCAGCAAAAGAGUAAUGCUAGCUGGGGGUGUAGCUCAGUGGUAAUAAGCAUGUGCUUAUUAACAUCUAUGAGACCCUAGUUUCAUCCACAACAUCCCACCCCUCAAAAAAGGUGAAUGCUGGGGCUGGGGUUGUGGCUCAGCGGUAGAGCGCUCACCUAGCACCUGCAAGGCCCUGGAUUCCAUCCUCAGCACCACAUAAAAUAAAUAAAUAAAAUAAAGAUACUGUGUCCAACUACAACUAAAAAAUAAAUUUAAAAAAAAAAGUGAAUGCUAAGGAAUUGCCACUGGUUUUGCUAGAUAUAAUCACAGCAUUAUGCUUAGAACUUUUAAAAAUGAGUCUUUAUCUAUGAGAUACAUUCUAGAGUAGUUACAAAUGAAAUUAUUUACUUUAAAAUACUUUAGCAAAUGAAAAGAUUUGGGCACUAGAUCAAAUAAAAUGGAUUUAUCCAUUAGUGUUCAUUAGAUUACUCUUUUACUUUUCUGUGUGAUUGAAAGAAGCUGUUUGAAAUGAAAAUUUGAAGGAGUUGAACAGCAGAGUCUUUGUUUUCAUGUGACAAUGACCCCAGAUCUUGUGCACAGUUCAUAUUGGCAGCUAGUAAGGUUAACAGAUAUUUCACAGAUCAGCCUAACACGUCUGCAGUCCCCAGCUCUGUGUCAGAAAUACAGGGCUCCCAGGCUGCACAGGCGCGCUGGAAGAGGGAGCGCUGACCUUGGUGCCCGUGCUCCAGGAACUUGAGUCAGACAUACUUGAGGCUUGGAGUAGAACCAACCCUGCAGUAAAUGCUGAUUAAAACUGAAUCUUGGCUGGUAGCAAACACCCCGUAUUUCAAGGUGGGGAUUUUAUUUGCAUCUCUCUUUCUUAGUUUUAUGGGUUUGUGUUGAAUCAUCUCAGCCAUGUGGUUAGCUUUAUUAUUAUUAUUACUGUCCCUAAUAACACUAAUUUAUAGUAAUAUUAAUUUAAAAAUCUCUACAGUCAUUUUUCCCAGGGCCUGCAACCCUUUUUAGUAAUCGUGAUUAUUCUUUUGAUCAUUUAACUAACCUGUCACUGCUAAUAACUGCUGCUUUUCUGCUUGCUGAAAUUGGCUGUCCCUUUGCCUCUAAACCAUCUGAGGGUCUGUCUCCUGGCUCCCUGAGCAGAUGGGCUGGCACUGAGCUCUGCUCUGCUGUGCUGUGUGAUGAUAGCAAAAUCAGUCCAACAUUUUUCUGUCUCUCUUUUUAUCCUGCAGCAGAAGUAUUGGGAGGCCCUAAACUCGGAGCAGGUAUGGACAAUCAUGCUGUCUCUCUCUUCCAGGAGGGACUUCUAUGGCUUGAUUUCAGCUUUUGUUUUUGUUAGAGGCUCUCGGAUGAUGGCACAUGACAAAAUCCAUUAAAAAAAAAAAAAAGAUGUAAAAAGCAAGAGACAAGUUUGAGGACUAGCCGGGCUCUCUUAGUUCAGAGUCUUUUGCUUUGGGGGUAUUCACAUAAGCCCAUACUAUCCACUAGGGACUCAGAAAACAGGCAUAACCCAGUGAAGAUCCAUGGAUUGGAACAGGGCCUGCCUAUGAGCAAGCGAGAGUUGCCGUAGGUCACCAAUGGUAGUGCUGGUGUGACAUGGCUGCAGCAGCUGAUAUGAUAAACAGUUCCACACAUUUGUCUUUCUGAGACCUGGGGCACCUGGUUGCUGUCACCAUGCCAUCUUUGCCUCGCAGUAGCAGAUGAGCACGUGUUUUAUGACAACUGCCUGUGCCUGUCAUCUCCCAGGAUGGUUUCUGAGAGGAGAAUAAAUGCAUUAUCUUUUGUUCAAAUUAUUUUUAUGACUGGUUUCCCACAAUAUUUUUAUUACUUAAAGUGAAGUUUUAACUGGGCACAGUGGCACUACCUUUAAUCGCAGUUACUUGGAAGUCUGAAGCAGGAGGCUCACAAGUUCAAGUCCAAUCUCAGCAAUUUAGCAAGACCCUGUCUCAAAAUAAAAAAAUAAAUAAAUAGGGCUGGGGAUAUAGCCCAAUGGUAGAACAUUUGCCUAGCAUGUAUGAGGCCCUGGAUUCAAUCCCGAGUACCAUGCGGGAGAAAAUGAAGUUGGUUUUUUGUUUGUUUGUGUUUCCUUCCUUCUUUUCUUCUUCUUUUUUUUUUUGUACCAGAGAUUGAACCCAGGGGCAUUCAACCACUGAGCCACAUCCCCAGCCCAUUUUAUUUUUUAUUUUGAGAGAGGGUCUUGUCAAAUUGCUGAGUGUGGCUUUGAACUUGUGAUUUUCCUACUUCAGCCUCCAAGCCCCUGAGAUUACAUAUGUGGCAAUAAAUGAAGUUUUAAAACAUAUUAUUCAAAAGAAAGGGAUUUAAAAUAUUGUCUAAUACCUAGUUCAUUUCAAAGAGUUCACUUGAUCAAAGUGGCAGGUUGUUUCUGUUUGCGAGCAGCUGAUUUGGUCAGGAUUAGCAAGAAUAACUUUUAAGAAGUCAUUUCAGCAGUUGGAGCCAUAGUUCUCAAACAUCAGAGCAUCUAAGAAAUAUCAUAGGAACUUGUUAAAAUGCCAAACCGCAGGUAGGAGCUGAGGUGAGUCCUCAGCAUCAGUCUUUUUGAACAGUAGCCCAGGUCCUUCUGGUGGGGUUGGUCCAGAGUACCUUCUGAGAACUCUGAUGUAGGACCCAGGCUUCAGCUCCAAAACAGCCUUCAUCAGAGAGCACACUUCCAUCCUCUGAGAAUGGAAUGGGCCCAUACUUGUGCCACUGGGCAAGUGGGUCACAGAGGCUGGCCAGCGAGCUCUUUUACUUGGAAUCUUUGAUAACAUCAGGGAAGAAUUUACUUAAAGGUGUCCAGCCAAGUCUAUAACCACAAGUAAAUAAGGAGUUCACACCAGGAGUGGCUGUUACAGCGGGCAGAACUGCAUCAACUAAUCCAGCUCAUCCCCAGGCCUAUAGGGUCACUGGGGUCUUUUUAACAUGAUGGCUUUUUAAAUCAUCAAGUAAUAGAAGUUGGUUGAAUUAUUAUCAGUGAAUUUCUAAUUGAACCAGCUUUUCUUUUCAAAACAGAGACAUAAUGUGUGUUUUAUAACUGGCAUGACAUGGAUGUUAUUUGGGAGACCUUAUUUGGGACCUCUAAGAACUAGACUGUUUGAUUCAGCUCAAGUUUGAACAUCUGGCAGAGUGUCUUUGUCAGACAUAAAUCUGGGGUCUAUGACCUCUGUCCAAAUACAUAAUCCAGCCUAGUCUGCCACAUUUUCCAUCACUGUUGCUUGUUUCUGUGUUUCCCAGUACUGUCAAAUGUGACCUCAUGGCUCAAAAUCAUCAGUCAUAGAGGCUCAGAAAUGGAAGAGGUCUUAUUAUCUAAUUGUUGAUCCAACCCUCAGCUUAUGUACAGAGAAACUGAGGCCCAAAGAAGAGCAAGCAAGUUUGUGACAGAAGGAAGACUUGGCCCAGUCCCCACUUGCCUCUGGAGCUGUAACAUCAAGGGUAGCACUAAGAAUCCCUUGGGUCUUGACCAUGUGCAAAGUUCUCUCUCUAAUCCAUCAUCUGCAAAUACCUUCAUAAAGGCUAUGUUCCAGCUUUUUUUUUUUAACUUUUUACCCUUACCCUUGAAAAUUUCAAUUUUCCAUACUUAUCUGAGUCAGAUUAUGAAAUAUUAACUGGCAGUGCCCACCAUUCUGAAUUGGGUUUUAAGUGUUUAUUUUUUCAGUGCCAGGGAUUGAACCUGGGGGCACUUAAACCACUGAGCCACAUCCCCAACCCUUUUAUUUUUUGAGACAGGGUCUUGCUAAGUCUCUUAGGGCCUUGCUAAGUUGCUGAGGCUGGGUUUGAACUCAUAAUCCUCUUGCCUCAGCCUCCCAAGCUGCUGGGAUUGCAGACAUGCACUUAUACCAGGCACAGUGCCUGAAGUGUUUAUUUUUAACAAAUCUUCUGGACCUCAAAUUGAGAGGAAACACCAAGUGAGAGCCCUGCUCUUCAGGAGUUCAUCAUCUCCCUAAGAGAACAAGGCAGAUGUCCAAAGAAAGACUGAGGCCAUCCAUGUGCAGGUACGGAUGAGUAGCAGAUGUAAUACUAAGAAAGGAGCAGGUGCAAGCUCACUGGGCUAACACAGCCAAGGCAGGCUUCCUGCCAGAGGAGGUAUUUCCUCUCAAGAGUGGGUUGAGGCCAGGUAUGGUGGCACUUGCCUCAAUCCCAGCUACUCAGGAGGCUGAGGUGGGAGGAUGAAAAGUUCUAGGCCAUCCCAGGCAACUUAGCAAGACCUUGUCUCAAAAUAAAAUACAUAAAAUAAAAAGAGGGGCUAUAGGUCACCAGCAGAAUGCUUGCCUAGUACACAUGAGGCCCUAGGUUCAAUUCUUAGCAUCACCAAAAAACCAAAGAAUGGGUUUUUAUUGGUCUUUUCCAAGAAUGAAUUAGGCAUGGAGGUAGACAUUUUCAAGAUAAAGGGAUCGUGUCUCAGACUCACUAGAUAAGAAUUUGCUGAAUAUGGGGGACAGUAGAAAGGAGGUGGCAAGGGAAAUGGGGCUGGUCUGUUCAGGGUAAUGGUUCAUUAAUUCCUUGAUUUAAAGGUGUACUUGCUCCCUUUAGGUGCAGGAAACAGAGGCCUGGUUAACUUGACCUCGCCCAGUUGUCCUUAUCUUUGCCUGUGUCAGAACUAAGAUUGAGUUGUUGUUUAGGGUGCGGGAUAGUAAUAGAUUGAAAGGACCUGUCCCACCAAAAUAUCUUUGUGUCUUUUCUUCACAGUGGGAUCCUGAAGAUGUCAAUUUUGAAAGGAACAAUGACAACAUGGAGACCUUCAGAUUCCAGGUGCCGAGGGGCUCUUCGACGACAGUAGACUUCAGCUCUGCUGAUUAGUAUCUUCUAAAAACCAGUCCAUCAGCUCAAAGACUAGGAUGAGGCAUUCAUCAGUAAAACUGAGCAGAGAUCGGACCUACAGUGACACCCAUAGCAGGGAUUUAAGCCACUGAAGAAGCUGCCCAGGGAAGUGAGGAACCUGGAGCUGAGCGUGGCUGGUUUACCUGGCUCCGAAUAAAUCUAAGAUUGUGGGUUCUAUGGACAGACCUGGAUAUGCCAUUUGUUCUGAAGAUUAGAAGCUCACAGAUGGCUCCUGCUUUGUAAAGAUAAGCCUUCAUCCAAAGGACAAUGGGCCCUCUUUUCCCGUCUUUCCUUUCCCUCUAUUCCCAUGAAAUGCAACUGUAAACUCAGUAUCUGCUGGAUGCCAGGAAUGAGUUCACCUAACAAAUAGCUCAUGUGUUUGGACCUCAGCAGAGCCUGUCCUGCAAGCCCUGGCUUCUGCCCUCCAGUAUCUGCUGGAAGUUAUCCAUAGGACUGCUUGGUCAACCAAGUAUCUGUGAGAUCAGUGGUAUGGCAAGCACAAGCAAAAAAACAAAAGAAUGGGUUUUUAUUGGUCUUUUCGAAGAAUGAAAAGCAAGAGAACUUCCUCCAGCCUGGCAACGCGUGUGCGGAGGCAGGGUUUACAGGUGAGGGGCACUGUGUGCUUUAGGAGGUCACUGAGAGCAUACAGAGGGUAAUAGGUAUGCUGGGACAUGUUAAUUCAAGCACAGUAACCCCAUUUGAAGAUGAAUGGUAGUGUGACCACAUGUGAGGGGAAAGGUGAAGGGAAUGGGGCUAAGGUCGGAACCACUAGAGUGAAUAAAAUUUAACUGAGUGAAUCAAAGCAUCUCACACUGGAAUAUAGUGGUAAGUCAGAAUCCCAGCAGAGCCACAGAAGUCUGCCAUGAGGGGGUCUGGGAUAAAUGCCAAGAAACACAGCUCUGCUGAUGGCUGGCUCACAGUGACCUGUGACUCAGCUGCAGCUGCCCAGUUUCUCCUAAGGGCAUGUGCAAGUCCCGGCAGCAGGAGGAAGGGGGUGCUGGGAAAGUGGGUUGGUUCCACAGGUCUCUGCAUAGAUCCUAAUCCCCUGGGUGACCUCUGAACUAGCAGAAAACUCAAAGCUACUUUAUUUAUUCCAUUUAUCUGCUUUGGGUUCCUGGUUGUCUUAUCAAAGAACGAUUGCUAAAGGCAACUUUGUUUUGUGGGGUCUUAGCCAAUGUAGCUAUACUUUGAAGGAGGAGGAAGAGGUGAAUAGAGGCCCAAAGCAAAGGAAGUUGAAGGGAACAUGCCAGUAAGUGAAAUGGUAGAAGCCUGGGGGCAGGGAAGGGUGGAAUCUAGUUGAUGGUGCAGUGUGGAUUGUAGAGGGUAGAAGACACUGGAAAGGAACUGGAGCAUGGAGGCUAGGGAGUGGGUGCUUCAGUCUGUGGCUGAUGCUAGCCAUGGAAGAUACCAAAGGGUGACUCACUUGCUCAGGGGCUCAGAUACUCAAGUGAGUUUUUUACUUCUAUUGCCACAGCUUUUCAGGAAACAGAAAUGUAUAGUCAUGUAUGGAGUGAACAUGGGGAACGUGUUUCAUUUAAAGACUAUUGAGUGGUAACCGCAAGCAGGAGGAGGGAUCAGCUUUAGAAAAGCAGAAGGCAUAGGGAUAGGAUGACAUUUCUGAAGUUCACGUUUAGCAUGUGCACACACACUCACAAACAUUUUCUCAAAGGGAGAUUGGAUCAUGCUCCCUGGGGUAUCAGAAUCCCUUGAGUCCUCAUAGGAAUGGCCAUUCUCAAGAACACUAAAUGAUCUUGCUGCCUUGGAGUAGCACAAACUAUUUCAGCUCCAGAUGUUAUUUAUCUCCCUAUAUCCUAUCAUCCCAGUCUUUUCCCUUCACAAACCAGUUACUAUCAUUAUGGUCCCAGAUUGUCUCAAGUCUCUUCAUCCACAGUAAACCACCCUGGGAGUUUAGGAAGUAAAGUUUGGCUUUAUUGUUUAGUGAGAACCUGCCUGUAUGCAAAGCUCUAGAACCCCAGGACCUUUGUAAAGAGGUACCAACCAAAACGACUUUCUCCUAGUAGGAGAGCAGCUUCAUUUUUAGCUAUUACUCUGGCCACAAAGACUAUGGAAGGUCCUUGCCCUGAGGACCCACUAAGCAGUGCAAAGAAUUACCUCCAUUGGAAGGGCUGGGAACAAACCAUGCAACCAUCCUAUCCAGAGAAGAGAUGGUGUAAUAUGUCUUAAUUGUCUUACCUAUUAUCUACAUGGCCCAAAGCAUGUUACCUAACCUUUGUGAACUCUUAAGGCAGACUAGGAAACCUCCCUAGAAAGCUUAAGGUAAUGACUAAGUGAAUUAACAUAAAUGAAGUGCCUUAUACCUGACUAACAGCAGAUUUUGAAGAGUGAUUAGUUUCCCUCCUCCCUAUAUUUUUGGACACAUGUGCUGAAAGACAGUGAAACCAAAGAAUCAGAUCCACAGAUGGAAGGGAUUUCAGAGAUUUGGAUCUCCUUAAGAAUAACCACAAUAAGUGAUUAUCCAGCCCCUGCUUAAACUCAUCUAAAGAAAACAAAAACAGAGAUUUCAUCUGCCAAAGAAGUUUGUAUAACUUAGGGAGAGUUCUGAUGACUCUAAUUUUCUAAAGAGCCUGUAUAGAGCCUGAAGAACUAGUUUUCUUAUGUCCCUCUGAUAAUUCAGUAAAUGCAUCAUCUGAUGAUAUAUUCACAUCAUGUUUGUUACAGUAGACAUGAGCUAUAGUUUAAGGAGAGGCAUUGGGCCAAGGAGUAUGAUGAGGCUCCAUUUCCCAGGUCUGAUUCAGUGUAAUAUUUGUCAUUUCCCUUUCUGGGUCAGUCUCCUCAUUUAUAAAAUGAAAGCUAGGUUAGAUUUAUUUCCUUUUUUCUUUUUUUGUGAAUAUGCCAGUUAGUAUGUUUCCCACAGACAAAUGGACAUUUUUAUAAACGCUCAGAAAAGAAACAUAAUGUUAAAGACAAAUUUCAGAUAUGCCUUGAAGAUAUCCAUUUAAGAUGAAUACUGGUGCUGGGGUAUGUGAUUGGCAUGUGCAAGGCCCUGGGUUCCACCCUCAAAACACACACACACACACACACAUACAUACACACGCACUCCAUUACCAUACUUCCCAAAUUCUCUGCACUCCUUUUUCUGCCCUUUACCAUUCUCCUUCAAAUUUUCCAACUAUGCAGGCACUGACCUAUUCUCUUCGACUUUGUUUUUUCUGAAGUUAAGGUCAAUGCCCUGGCAGAGGUGGCUGUUUUGAAUGAACCCAAGCUAUACUGCAGUGCCCAGGAAGAACUCUUCAAGAAGUUUACAUAUGCCUCUCCUAGUAUUCAAGAGUCAUCAUGUGAGAGGGACGAUCUUAAGAAGUUCAAGAACGAUACUAGAUAAAAUUACUUAGAAGUCUAAUCUGCUUUUUCUUGAUACCUAACCUUAAAGCCAAACAAACCAUGGGACAUUCGGGACUGCUCCUUUCCAGCAGGGCAAGUCAUUAACCAGCGUUAAGUUUCAAGAACCUCCGUUGAUUGAUUGCCUGGAGAAUUCGGCACGCCCUCCCAAUUCCCUUGGGCAUUUUCCAUCAGCGCUGGGUACUGGCAGGAGGCUCAGGUCUCCUCUUGCUAGUCCUCACUCAGGGUCUGCAGCUAUGACGGCUGAGGGGUCUGUCUCCUGCAGAGCGCCUUCUCUCGGCAGUCCCCAGGGGGAUCGUUCACAACCGCCUGAGGGCCAGUCGAUGGCCUCCCCAAAAGAAGGGUGGUGGCCCAUUGUCCAUAUGAGUGGAAACUGAACCACGUCUCCCCACGCCUACCUCUUGGGAGAACCGGCCAUCGGCAGAUAGCAGGUAGCCCAUUCAAACCACUCACCUCGUACUUCCGGGAAGAGGGGAAGAGGCGCAGCCCUGCGCCUGCGCACUCCGCAGCCACCGUCUCCCCCUGGGAGUGCGAGUCCCGCCCCCGCGGAGUCCGCCGCUUUCGGGCUCCGGCCCGCGCAGCCGCGGCCCGGGAGACCACCAGCGGCUGGUAGUUGCUGUCAGUCUGUCUCCUCUGAGUUUUUAGGGAGUUAGUCACAUAGUCAUUUUUUUGGUUCCUAGUGUAGUUAGGACCAAUCAACAGACUUAGCCUGCACUGUAAACCAUUCUUUAAGUACACUAAAAAAAUUUUUGAAAUAAAUAUAAUACAGGUGCGUGGUUUAAAAAAGAAAAUCAGAUCCGACCAAGUUUAUGAAGAACAACAAUUCCCUGGCCCUCCGUUCCCAACCUGCUUACUUCUUUCCUUCCUCGCAAUCACACUUGCUCAUGUUCCCAAAGUGUUUUGUCCAACUGUCUUCUCCAUUGAUUUUUUGUUUUGUUUGUUUUGCUGGUGUGAAACCCUGGGCCUCACACAAGCACAUAGGGCUCUAUUAGUUUUGAAUUGGAACCCAGCUGCUGUCAACAAAGUUCUAAGAUUAUAGUUUUUUAGCUAAAUUAUCUCUAACUUCCAUUAACUACAGGCUAAUGAGGUUCAGUAGGUGGGACAGGGAUACUGGCAUGUUGAGAAUGGUGUUAAGAACUGUCUACACAUCUGCAGGUUACUGCGGAGUCCUCUGUACCACUAGAACCCAGUUUCUGAGUCCCAGGUUACUGGAUCUGAGCCCACUCCAACUGACAUCUGCCUUCAGGACAGCCUGGCAAGUUCUACCUAUCUACUCUGGAUUUGACCUUUCCCUCUAUCCCUCUACCUCUUCUCCUGCAGAUAUCUUAGCCCUUGGAAUCUCCUGUGGAAAACAGGGUUUUCUAACCCCACCACCAGAACAAAGGACUGUGUACACUUUCACCACCACAGUCUUUCCCAAGGACAGCCUGGCCACGUGUGAAGAGAGCCAUUUCAUAGGCCUAAUGUUUUAACCAUCACACUUUGUGAAAUGUGUACCCUAAAGCUCUGAUAUUCAAAUAUAGGUUCUUAAGCUCCAGCCUAGGUCUGGACAGGGCCUGGGAAUCUUAAGCUCCUCAAGUGAUUCUGUCACAGAGGAUAGAGGACCACUCUUUGAGAAACACUGUCCUUAGGAAAUCAAUUUAAAACUGAUCUAUUUGUGUAAGAAGAUGUUCCCAUGAAACUACUUAAAAUAGGGGGGGAAAGUGAUAAGUACCCCAUGAUUGGGAAACAUUAAACAUUACACCUUUAUUUUUUUGUGUGUGCAGUAUUGAACCCAGGAUUGAACCCAGGGGCUCUCUGGGCUAAGUUACAUCCCUAGCCCUUUUAAUUUUUUGAGACAAGUUCUCUAUAAGUGGCCUGGCUGACCUCAAACUUGUAAUCGUCUUGCUUCCCAAGUAGUUGAGAUUACGUAUGUGAGAUAUCAUGUUCAACUAAAUAGAAUAAUUUAAUGAAAUUACAUUUUGCCUUGAAGUCUAAAAGAUUGUGGGACAAUAAACUGAGGCACAUACCUGAAUUGCCUUGAAAUUAUUUGGUGCGAUGCCAGAGUGCAAGUUAUUCUGAUAAUGAAUUUCUAGUUCUCACAUGGUGAAAAAAAAUCCUUUUUUAAAAAAAAAUUUUUAUUGUGGUGGUGGUUAUAAAGUUGUAUGUAUGUUUGAGCUUCUGAGGAGGCAGGAUUGAGACACUGAAAGGCUGAACCAACUCCGCGUGAGCAGAGUGGCAGAGGAUGUUUUUGAUAGCACCCCUAACCAGGAAACAGAUUCCUGUGGGCAAGCAGUGACUCACCCCCCAGUCUCAGUGAGUCAACAGUGUCCUAAGGGAGCCAGGGCUGGCAGCCUUCUGCUGCAAGGGAUGUAAGCAGGGCCUAGACUUAGUCCAGGAUAUCAGUGUGACAGAUCAGGGGUGACAGAACAGAUCCCAAGGAGUGGAAAGGGAGCUGAAUCCUUUGAAUGGGUCAGGUUAAAAAAAAAAAAAAACUACAGAAUAAAGCAAGUUAAAAAAGAGAGAAAGAGAGAGAGAACACAAGCCAGGGCAGUGGAGCAUGCCUAUAAUCCCAGCAGCUUGGAGGCUGAGGUAGGAGAAUCUCAAGUUCAAAGCCAGAGUCAGCAAUUUUUGGACGCCCUAAAGCAACUUAGCAAGACCCUGUCUCAAAAUAAAAAAUAAAUCAAAAGGAUUGGGAAUGUUGCUCAAUGGUUAAGCACCCCUGGGUUCAAUCCCCAGUACCCACUCCCCCUAUAAAAGAUAGAACACAAGAGAGCAUGUGCCAUUAUUAGUAAUUACAAGAGAAAAUUCAUUAGUAUCAGAAAUCAUUAGAUUCCAUGAUAGAUUAUGUGGAAGUUGGUAUAGUGGCACACACCUGUGAUCUCAGUGACUUGGGAGGCUGAAGCAGAAGGACCACAAGUUCAAAGAUAGCCUCAGCAAUUUAAGGAGGCCCUAAGCAACUUUGUGAGACCCUGUCUCUAAAUAAAAUAUUUUUAAAAGGGGUAAGAAUGUGGCUCAGUGGUUAAACAGCCCUGUGUUCAAUCCCCAGUAUCCCCGCCCCCCAAAAAAAAUUAAGGAAGGGGGCAGAAUUUUUCCAGAGUUCUUAUUCUGAAUAAGAAAAAGGGCAUUUGAAAAACAGCUGGGGUAGGGAUGGGAGACAGUGUUGGAGAUAGAUUUAAGUGGCAGAGGGCUUGCCAAUCAUGUACAAGGCCCUGGGUCCAAUCCCUGGCACCAAAAUUAAAAAGAAAAAUAGCCAGGCACGAUGGUGCAGAUUCAUGGUCCCAGCUACUGGAAGGACUGACACAGAAGGAUCACUUGAGCCCAGGAGUUUGAAACAAGCUCAGUCAAACCCUGUCCUUAAGUGUGUGUGUGUGUGUGUGUAAGUAUAUAUAAAAAAUAUAUAAAUAUAUAAUUUUUUCAGGUUUAUGUGGA
rnacentral:lncRNA from 1 species